rnacentral:lncRNA from 1 species
GGAACCAGAGAAGAAUUAACUGGAGACAAGGAGGACAACUCCCCUGCUCCCUCGAAAAGGACAGAUGCUCUAAAUGGCUUGCAAAUUCCAGACCAGAGUCCAGGAGGAGACCAGGCUGCAAAAGCUGACGCGAGGAUCUGAAACCAGAUGACCCGGGAAAGGCCCAGUCACCAAAAGUGACCUCCUUUUUUAACCCUUUAUGUCAAAAUAUAAUUGGUCAAUGCAAGAGUCUACCCUGUUACCCGUCACUUUUUGUUCCCAUCCUAUAAAAAU